rnacentral:piRNA from 1 species
UUUCCAAGUGUCUAUUCCUAAGCUAUGG